UAUACUCCUUACGUCUCUUUCCCUUUCUCCCUCAACUCUCCCUCUAUUUCUUCUCCCCCUCGCCUCUCUCUCUCGAAUCUCGAAUCUGUCGCCGCCGCUGCACGGGCGGCGGUUCCCCGGCCUCCCCACGCCUCGCACUGCCAGAGCAGUUUCCCGACGCCCCGACGGCCGCUGCCUCAUCGCCGACUCCUGAGAGGUGGGUGAAAUCAGUGAUGCAUCGGGCUGUGGGGCUGCUACUGUCGUCGAUAGGGUGCCGAAGAUUAGUCGCCGGAGUCCCGACAGAUUUAUACUCUCGAGACAAGUUCUUAUUUUGUGAAGAAUUGCUAUUUGUUGUUUUGGUAGCUAAAGUGAAGAAUUGUUAUUCUUGAUCUACAUGCUUAUAUGCAAAUUUUGAGAAAAGAAAAGUGCUUGGAGUUUACUUUCAUUACGUGGGAAAAUGUGUUGUUGGAUUGUGGGACUUGACCCUGUAAUUGUUUGCAACUCUCCCCCUUUUCUUACUCCUUCUCUCUCCUUCGGAUGGUUGAAAGUUUUGGAGUGAGUUCCUAUUGUUUUGUAAGUGACGCUGGAAAAAGGAAAGCUCGUUCCCAUAUAUAUACAUUUACCUUGCCUAGCUUAGCUUGUACAUAUCUCUGAUUUGAUAUGCUUAGAUCUUUAGCAGGGAUUUAAUAUCUUACUUGGCAUAAUCUGCUCCCUCAAUCUCCUGAACAAAUCUUGCAAUGAGAUUAUGCAUUAAAUGUCUACUAUCCACUUGCACAUUACUUUAUCUCCUCAUAGUAUUUUAUUUGAUAGAGUAUGUGAAAGUGAUUGAGAGCAGAAGGAACUUUGUUUCUAUUUAUAGGCUAAAAUAAUUUAUGUUGCAUUCUUUCUAUGAAAUCUCUGAAAUUAGAUUCGUAUUGAAUGCAAAUACUGUAUAAGAUUGGUGAUAGAUAUGAAGAAGUUACCACGUAGUCCCACUUGCAAUUAUUAUAUCUAUUUCCUUAAGAUUUUAUUUGAUAUGGGAAUAAAUGAUCUCCUCAGUAAAUCUUAUGGAAAAUCUUCUCAAAGAUUAGCUUAGAUUUCUCAAUCUAUCUCACCGUAGAUUUUGAUCUUGGCAUUAAGUGCAAGAUCUUAUAUGAUUUCUACAAAUUUUCCCAUUUUACGCAGGAACAUACAUUGGCGGAGGUCGGUGACGUGUUGGACUUUGUUGGGAUGCUAGCAGUGUUGUCAAACGGGCUGCCCGAGACUUGCACAUCUUUCGCUUCCGAUCAUAAUAGGCUAGGCUUUAAUUAUAUUGUAAUAUUAGACUUGAUUCGUGUAUCGGGUAUUACGACUUUUACUUUGAAUUUAUUCUUUGGAUAGUCAUUGAAAAUAAUUGCUAAAUAGCACAAAAGUUUAUUAGAUGUCUCGUCUAUAUUUUCUUAACUCAAUGUAAGAUUCUUUCAUAUUUUAGUGCCGCUUUGAAAUAUCU